CCGGCGCGGCGGGAGGAGCCACGCGAGAGAGCGAGGGGCGGGGCGGGUCACGUGGCCGGGCCCGGCGGGAGGGGCCGUGCAAGAGGCGUAAACAAGUUCUCCCGGCUGGGUGUGGUUGUGUGUCUGCUGCUUUUCCGAUGCUGUGUCUCCGCUCACAGAUCCGGGUGCCCCCGCUCCCGGCCCAGGGUCUCCCCGUUCCCGGCCGCAGAGCUGCGAUCUUGUUUCCCAAGGAGCCAGUGGGUACCUCUGUGGAGGAAGGGUCUGCUUUAGAUCUUUAAAGGAGUUCAUCGCUAGGAAAGGAGCAAAGCUGCACCAGGGCAACCUCUGUCCUUCGCAGAGUAUUUGCCAAAGCGCAUCUCUGGGGCUGCGAAGAACCACGGUGGCUGCUAACCUCAGGUUGCUAACAUUUCCGACGUUAUGUGGAAAACCACCCUAAGCAGGGCAGGCAUCUUUCGAAGCAGAACCCCUCCAUUCGGUGCCUCCUCUGCUUCUUCCUAGCUGUGUAAAUCUGCGCAAGUCUUGAGGUCCCUUGAGCCUCAGUUUCUUCCUCUAUGAAAUGGGCAUGGUAACAUGAGUGACGGGAGGAUUCCUGGAGGAAAAGUAUGGAGAGUGUUUAGCACAGUGACCCAGGCCAGGUAAAGGUGAUGGUUGGUAUCUGAGGCAGGUGAUGGUGAGCGCUAGGCACCAAAGCAAAGCAAAGCAAAGAGGUGUGAGAGAGGCCGCAGAGAAUGAGGUGACGUCCCACUGUGGGGUCUCAAAAGGCUUUUUGAAAGAGUGGGCCUCCUGCUGGGUUUUAAAAGAAAGGUAGGUUUCAUGAAAUAGAAUCGGGAGAGGCUUCUGGGGAGAAAAGGGUAUUCCAGGCCAAGAACCAAAGAAGCAAGCGGCUGGAGGCAAUAAAUGCUGGGUCUGCAGUCUCCGAGUGAGUUUCCUGUGAGUAUCCAGAGGAUGCCCAGGCGGAAGUCCCCAGGCCUCUGUGGUGCAGGAACCAGUUGACAGUCUUCAGCAGAAAAGGUCACAGCAUGUUCAGGUGACAAUGAGAAGAUGGUUAGAAGGCAGAAGCUACAAUCACAAACACCUUCCUGGCCUUACUCUGUGUGGUCUGCCCUCCCC